rnacentral:lncRNA from 1 species
ACUCCUGACACAAACUUUGGCUGGGGGGGAUUUUAUACCCAAUACCAAUCCCCCUACUUCCGAGUUUGAGUUUCGAACGAAGGAAGUACAGAAAAAUUUUCACAGCCGAAGUCGUUUCCUUGAAUUCUGUACACGACCCCCCUUAAAAAUCUUAGCAUUCAAUGCGCGCGUGCUGGAGUCUUUUUCUGAUUAGGGUGAUCCAAAGAGUCCUUUCGAAAUUCCCACC